GAUGAACGCUGGCGGCGUGCCUAAUACAUGCAAGUCGAGCGAACAGACGAGGAUCUUGCUCCUCGGACGUUAGGGGCGGACGGGUGAGUAACACGUGUAUAACCUACCUAUAAGACUGGGAUAACUUCGGGAAACCGGAGCUAAUACCGUAUAAUAUAUUGAACCGCAGGGUUCAAUGGUAAAAUACGGUUUUGCUGUCACUAAUAGAUGUAUCCGCGCCGGAUUGUCUAGUUGGUAAGGUAACGGCUUACCACGGCAACGAGGCGUAGACGAACUGAGAGGGUGGUAGGCCACAUGGGAACUGGAACACGGACCAGGGUCCUACGGGAGGCAGCAGUAGGGAAUGUGCGGCAAUGGGGGAAAGCAUGACGGAACAAACGGGAGUCAGAUACGGCAGCGUUGGGAUCGUGAAAACCGGUUACUAGGGAAAAACCAAUUUGGCAGUAAACAUGCCCGUAUUGACGGUAACUAAUCAAAAAGCACCGGCUAACUACGUG
rnacentral:rRNA from 1 species